AGAGUUUGAGUCCUGGCUCAGGAUGAACGCUAGCUACAGGCUUAACACAUGCAAGUCGAGGGGCAUCAUGAACUUAGCUUGCUAAGUUUGAUGGCGACCGGCGCACGGGUGAGUAACGCGUACUCCAACCUGGCCCACAGUAGGGUAUAGCCCGGCGAAAGUCGGAUUAAUCCCCUAUGCACUCCGAAGCGGCAUCUAAUUUGGAGUAAAGGUUUACCGCUGUGGGAUGGGGAUGCGUCCAAUUAGCUUGCCGGCGGGGCAACGGCCCACCGGGGCAACGAUUGGUAGGGGUUCUGAGAGGAAGGUCCCCCACAUUGGUACUGAGACACGGACCAAACUCCUACGGGAGGCAGCAGUGAGGAAUAUUGGUCAAUGGGCGCGAGCCUGAACCAGCCAAGUAGCGUGCAGGAAGACGGCCCUAUGGGUUGUAAACUGCUUUUGUACGGGAAUAAAGUCAGGGACGUGUCCCUGUUUGCAUGUACCGUAAGAAUAAGGACCGGCUAAUUCCGUGCC
rnacentral:rRNA from 1 species